UUCCCAUAUUUUAGUGCCUUUUUAAGGAACACACAUGCAUACAAAGGGUAGUCCUUUUCAUAUCCCCAAUUUUUCACAUCUCCAUUAUCAUUUCAUUAUUCAUUUCUGUCUUACAUAAUCUGCAGCUUAGUCAAUUCUUUUGGUUUUAAGGUGGGAAGACCUGCCUGUGUCUGUAUCCCUGGGGCUCCUCUAAACCUGCCGGUUUGUGAGAUGAUUUCAUGGUUUCUUUUACAUGUAUCAAAUGUCUACCCUACAAAGAACUGGAUGGAGUUAACAGCUGAGCAAAGAUGAGAGAGGAACCUACUUUCAUUUGGGAAAAACAGGACCAUACCAUGUGUACAAGACAGAAAUUUCUACAGAUGCUUUACGAAAGAAAAAAUAUCUUACCAAAGUUAUUACUGCACUUUCAGCAGUUAGCUGUGUGGCACUACAAAGAGCAUGAACAAAUCUGUAAAUGAAUUUGUGUUCAGGAUCAUGCUCGAAGUAUUCCUCUGGAACCUUUUCUCGCUGAAAGGAGAAAAAAUGCAAUUUAUGUAUCCAUGGAAGAAAAAUACUUAAAAGUACCCUUAAGAUAGCAGUCUUCACACUUGGGCCCACGUGCCCCUUAAAAUAAUUUUGGUUGGGUGACAUGUCUUGUAGUCUUUUAAAUAUAAACAAUGGGAUCCUAAAAUACCACAGUGAUCCAGUACUCACCACCAUUCAUUAAAGAAAAAUACAGGCACAACCGCAGAAAAUUUAUGUAUUUCCACGUUCCUCCCCACAGAAUUCGAACCAAAUGUAAACUAUUGGGUUGGCCAAAAAGUUCAUUUGGUUUUAAGUAAAAAUAAAAGACACAGUUUUCAUUUUCACCAAGCAUUUUAUUGAACAAUAUAUUCACUAACCAAACAAACUUUUUGGCCAACCCAAUAUUUUUAGGCUCAAAAGUCUUGCUGAUCACCAUAUGUCAUACUUUUCUGUAAUCAACUUUGAAAACACAUUUCCAGUGUCCUGUAACCAUAAGGCUCGAAGAAUGUGCUGUCCUGUACAGCAGUCGCCAGCCACGUGUGGCUACAGAGCACCCGAAGAAGUGAAUUUUAAAACUUUGUCAUUUUAAUUCGUUUAAAAUUUAAACAGUUUUCUAAUUUUCUUCUUAGAGGCCUUAUCAUAUUAGGUUUAUUUACAAAUAUUUAUAUUGUUUGAUGCUAUGGAAAAUCAUCCUUUAAAAAGAUACAUUUUCUGUUACUUGGGUAUGUUUACUUACCUGCUCACUAUUCAUACAAAGUGCAACUCGGUUCAUAUCCAUCAACCCCUUAUACAACACGCCUUCGGGAAAAUGACUAGACACAACAUGGCGUGGGGAAGAAGACUUAAAGGAAGAUGAAUUUGACUUCGAGCUGGAGGAAGUAAUUUUCUUCUAGUACUUAAUUUCAAAGCAAAUCAGCAUGAAAUAAACACAACUGUAUAAGAGAAAAAUACCACUUCAAUAAAACUGACACUUACUGUGAGUGGAUGUAAUCUCUCAUCAAAAAUAUCCAAGGAUCUAUCUGCAUCUCUAUAAAAUAAGAAUGUGCAUUUAAAAAAUUAAUUCAGGAGUUACUAUCUUAGUAAAAUAUCUGCUAGGAGUAGAGAGAGGGGUAGAGGAAGCUUAACCUUCAACAAAGCAAACAGUUUUAUAAAUUCUUCUCCUGGAUUCCACCCUUAGAAAGGUUUCCUGACCUAUUUUUACUCAGCACAUCAAGUUCCGUGAAAUCUUUUCUACAACAACCAGCCAGAGUUGCCUCUAUAAGCACUGACCCUCCCUAACAGGCAAUGCUAGUAAACCAAUAUAUUUUCACUCCUCUAACCUCACACUGGAAUAUGCAAGAACAUUUUAUAAAGCAGUGGUGGUGGGCAAUAAAUUCUUCUAACUUCAA